rnacentral:rRNA from 1 species
UACGAAGGGUGCAAGCGUUACUCGGAAUUACUGGGCGUAAAGCGUGCGUAGGUGGUUGUUUAAGUCUGUUGUGAAAGCCCCGGGCUCAACCUGGGAGGUGCGCGCGAAACGGCGGGGCUGGAGUUCGGGAGAGGAGAGUGGAAUUCCCAGUGUAGAGGUGAAAUUCGUAGAUAUUGGGAAGAACACCGGUGGCGAAGGCGGCUCUCUGGACCGAGACUGACGCUGAGGCGCGAAAGCGUGGGGAGCAAACAGG